UACGGAGGGUGCGAGCGUUGUCCGGAAUCAUUGGGCGUAAAGGGCUCGUAGGCGGCCAACUAAGUCAGACGUGAAAUCCCUCGGCUUAACCGGGGAACUGCGUCUGAUACUGGAUGGCUUGAGGUUGGGAGAGGGAUGCGGAAUUCCAGGUGUAGCGGUGAAAUGCGUAGAUAUCUGGAGGAACACCGGUGGCGAAGGCGGCAUCCUGGACCAAUUCUGACGCUGAGGAGCGAAAGCCAGGGGAGCAAACGGG
rnacentral:rRNA from 1 species